rnacentral:rRNA from 1 species
GGGGAAUAUUGGACAAUGGGCGCAAGCCUGAUCCAGCCAUGCCGCGUGAGUGAUGAAGGCCUUAGGGUUGUAAAGCUCUUUCACCCGGGACGAUAAUGACGGUACCGGGAGAAGAAGCCCCGGCUAACUUCGUGCCAGCAGCCGCGGUAAUACGAAGGGGGCUAGCGUUGUUCGGAAUCACUGGGCGUAAAGCGCACGUAGGCGGACCGUUAAGUCGGAGGUGAAAUCCUGGGGCUCAACCCCAGAACUGCCUUCGAUACUGGCGGUCUCGAGUCCGGAAGAGGUGAGUGGAACUGCCAGUGUAGAGGUGAAAUUCGUAGAUAUUGGCAAGAACACCAGUGGCGAAGGCGGCUCACUGGUCCGGUACUGACGCUGAGGUGCGAAAGCGUGGGGAGCAAAC